rnacentral:sRNA from 1 species
GCCAGGCAUAGUAGUGUGCACCUGUAGUCCCAGCUGCUUGGGAGGCUAAGGCAGGAGGUUCACUUGGGCCCAGGAGUUUGAGACCAGCCUGGGCAACAUGGUGAAACCCUGUU